AUCUAACUAACGAGUCCCUAAUAGGACGAAAUGCUCACCUUAGAU
rnacentral:hammerhead_ribozyme from 1 species